ensembl:lncRNA
CACUUCAGGCCAAAUCCAUAUUAUGAAGACCUGGAGAGAAUGGAGGAGGCGGUCAUGUCAAUUCUGCACAACUUAGAGAUGGAGAACACUGAGGUCCAUGAGAACAACCAUAAGCUGAAGAAGGAGAUUACCUUCUCUAGAAACCUGCUCAGCCAGCUCCUGAUGGAGAACACAUGUAGGAAGAAGUUGGUCCCACCGAAGCAGGGGAGCAAGGGGGUACAUCUUGAUUGUGCACUGAACCAGAAAUAUUUGGUUGACUUCAACAAGAAAGAUAAAGAUAAAGAUCAAUUGCCAGAACCAGCAUUAUCAGGUCUCAGAAAGUGCAAGAGAGCUGGAAUUGGACACACAGCAGUAAGAGAGCUUCCUGAAGAAUAAGUUGCUUUCUCAGGAGUCCCUGAUGACCAACAUCCUGAAUGGUAACAACAUUUUUUGUAUGAGUAUUCAUCCUCUGAGUUAAUUUGUCAUUUCUUAGAGACCCUAAAUUUAUAUACCACUAAGCCAGCCUGACUGAUUGAGGUCUUACUCACUUUCUUCUUCAGAAAACAGCACUUGAGAGACAACUUGGGGGACCGCCUUUCAUUAUGUGUGCUAGAGGAG